rnacentral:rRNA from 1 species
ACGCAUUUAUUAGAUAAAAAGCCAGUUCAUGCUUUUAUAGUAUGAAAAUUGGUGAUUUAUAAUAACUUAGCAAAUCGCAAAGUGAAAACAGGCGAUAAAUCAUUCAAGUUUCUGACCUAUCAGCUUUCGACGGUAUGGUAUUGGCUUACCGUGGCAGUGACGGUUAACGGGGGAUUAGGGUUCGAUUCCGGAGAGGGAGCCUGAGAAACGGCUACCACAUCUAAGGAAGGCAGCAGGCGCGCAAAUUACCCAAUUCUAACAGUUUGAGAGAGGUAGUAACAAGAAAUAACAAUACAAGGCAGUUAAAAUGCUUUGUAAUUGGAAUGAUAGAAAUUUAAACCCUUUUUAAAGUAUCAAUUGGAGGGCAAGUCUGGUGCCAGCAGCCGCGGUAAUUCCAGCUCCAAUAGCGUAUAUUAAAAUUGUUGCAGUUAAAAAGCUCGUAGUUGAAGUUCUGCUGAAAGUAACCGGUCUGCUUUUAAUAAAAGUGGUAUCUUGGUAUGUAUUUAGCAAUGAUGUCCUUUGAAGUGUUUUUUACUUUAUUGUAAUAAAGCAUAUUCAGGACUUUUACUUUGAGAAAAUUAGAGUGUUUCUAGCAGGCUAACGCUUUGAAUACUGCAGCAUGGAAUAAUAA